rnacentral:lncRNA from 1 species
ACAGGGAGCCAAUCACUGGGCGAAGAUAUGGAGGCGGGAUCUUCCGGGCAGAACAGGAAGAGAAGGAGAGAGAGGCAGAGAAAGAUGGAGAACGACUGAGAAAGGAGACAAGAUGGAACCUAUAGGAGAGGAUGAUGAGCCAGAACCACGUGGAGCCAUAAGUGAUGUGGAAGUAGCAAGCCCAUUCGGGACAACCUUGGGCAGGUGGCCCUGGAUAUCAUAAGAAAGCAAGCUGAGCAAUCCAAGGGAGCAAACUUGUUUUCUACUUGAGUUGCUGCCCUGGCUUCCCUUCAUGGUGGACUAUAAGCUGAAAGGUAAAAGAAAUGCUUUCUCCCCUCCUCCCUGCCCCAUGCUCCAGAGUUGCAUUUGGUCAUGGUGGUUUGUACCAAUAAAAAGCAAACUAAUACAGUAAUGAAACACAAUAAAGAAUUAUAAGACUAUGCUAGAUAUUUUGCUUAAAACCCUGAAGGCACAAAACUGGAGAGAUGACUCAAAAGUUAAGAGUGCUUGCUGCUCUUCCAAAAGAUCAGAAUUUGGAUACAAGCAACCCACAGUGGGCAGCUACUCCCAUUCUGUGUUUUGCAGACACCUACGCUACGCGCACACACACACACACACACACACACACACACAUGUACACACACGUGCACGCAUGCACAUACCCGUACAUGUUGCAGGAAAUUUGAUCACAGCAUGAACCCUCAGAUUGUGAACUUGAAAAACCCAUUUCUUGUUGAGGUGUAGCUCAGCCCUUGCACACACCUUUAAUUCAAGAGCUUUCUGUAAGCAAGAGCUAAAUAAAAUCAACAGUAGGUCAAGAGACAGAGCUAGCCACCAGUUGACAUGGAGGGAACAUUAAAAAAAGAAGAAGAAGAAGAAGAAGAAGAAGAAGAAGAAGAAGAAGAAGAGGAGGAGGAG